UUUGGUUGCAUAAUCUUACUCUGAUUUCCCCUAGACUUUAGUAAAUCUGAAACUCUCCAAAUCUCAGGACUAACCAAAGUUAGAUAAUUUAGAAAUUGCAGUUGUUGACUCAAUGGAAGGACAAGCUUUGAAUGGGAUUUUUUUUUGUUCUUAAUGUGCUGUCAGCAGAUGUUUACUUAAAGAGAUUUUUUAAUCUCCUCUAGGAAGAUGAUAAGAUCAGAUGGGCGUCUAGAUGGGACUAUAUUCUGGAGUCUAUGCCUCAUACCCACAUUCAGUGGUUUAGCAUUAUGAAUUCCCUGGUCAUUGUUCUCUUCUUAUCUGGAAUGGUAGCUAUGAUUAUGUUACGGACACUGCACAAAGAUAUUGCUAGAUAUAAUCAGAUGGACUCUACGGUAAGUGGAAACAUUUUAGUCUUUAGUCUGCCAAGGACACUGUUUAUUGUUAUUUUGCAAAAAGGUAAA
rnacentral:lncRNA from 1 species